rnacentral:lncRNA from 1 species
UUUGUUUUGUUCUGUAUGAAAUCCAGCUAUGCGAAUUUUGUGACAAGGGGGAUCAUUGGCAAUGCCAACCCUUGGCAGGUUCUUCAUGUGUAUGGAAUUAGUCUAGUGUGAGCAUUGCAUGAACAUUAUGAACAAGUAAGCUUAUGAUACCUGUGAAAAAACAACAUACAUUAAGGGCUUGUUUGGUAACUGUUUAAUUUCUAUUUUUUUAUUUAAUUUUUGUUUUUUGGUAUGAAUAUAUAAAAAAAAUUGUUUAUGUUGCUACUUAUAAUUGAAAACAAGGCAAAAUGAUUCACUAUUUC